rnacentral:rRNA from 1 species
CCUACGGGAGGCAGCAGUGAGGAAUAUUGGUCAAUGGGCUUACGCCUGAACCAGCCAAGUCGCGUGAGGGAAGACUGCCCUAUGGGUUGUAAACCUCUUUUGUCAGGGAGCAACGCCGGCUACGUGUAGCCGGACUGAGAGUACCUGAAGAAAAAGCAUCGGCUAACUCCGUGCCAGAAGCCGCGGUAAUACGGAGGAUGCGAGCGUUAUCCGGAUUUAUUGGGUUUAAAGGGUGCGCAGGCGGAUUUUUAAGUCAGCGGUAAAAUCGUGGGGCUCAACCCCAUCCAGCCGUUGAAACUGGGGAUCUAGAGUGUGCGAGAGGUAUGCGGAAUGCGUGGUGUAGCGGUGAAAUGCAUAGAUAUCACGCAGAACCCCGAUUGCGAAGGCAGCAUACCGGUGCACAACUGACGCUCAGGCACGAAAGCGUGGGUAUCGAACAGGAUUAGAUACCCUUGUAGUC